rnacentral:rRNA from 1 species
GACGAACGCUGGCGGCGUGCUUAACACAUGCAAGUCGAACGGAAAGGCCCUGCUUUUGUGGGGUGCUCGAGUGGCGAACGGGUGAGUAACACGUGAGUAACCUGCCCUUGACUUUGGGAUAACUUCAGGAAACUGGGGCUCAUACCGGAUAGGAGCUCCUGCUGCAUGGUGGGGGUUGGAAAGUUUCGGCGGUUGGGGAUGGACUCGCGGCUUAUCAGCUUGUUGGUGGGGUAGUGGCUUACCAAGGCUUUGACGGGUAGCCGGCCUGAGAGGGUGACCGGCGACAAUGGGACUGAGAGACGGCCCAGAAGCGAACGGGAGGCAGCAGUGGGGAGUAUGGCACAAUAGGGGGAAGUCUGAGGCAGCAACGCCGGGAGCGUAAUGAUGGCUUACGGGUGGUAAACCGCUUUCGCCGGAGACGAAGAGGGCGUGACGGUAAUGGGUAAAGAAGCACCGGCUAACUACGUG